rnacentral:lncRNA from 1 species
GCUGGUGAUCCUGCUCACUACAAAAUCAAGGAUACAUUAAGGAACUGAAUUUACUAUAAUUGUUUGCAUCUUGGUAGAGUGUCUUUUAGAAUUUCAAAAACAAAAUCAAAACAAACAAACAAAAAAUCCAACCAACCAACCAGCCAACCAACCAACCAACCAAACAAAACCAAAAAACUUCAUGAAAGCCACAAGCUCACCAAAGAUUUAGAACUAUCUGGAAGAUCCUAGGUCACUCAGUCCAUCUAACCUCAGAACAAGAGCAAGAAACUCAAGUUUCAGCCAGAUUAGGCUAAUGAAUGCUAAUGCUAAUUCAUUAAAAUGGCCUCUGUGUGAGUCUUAUCUUGCCGCUUACAGAAGUCGGAAUGGGAAAAGAUGACAAAGUCAGUUCGGCUCCGAUGUGGUCCUGCCAUGCACACUUUCUCUUCUACUCUGUAAACAUGAGAUGCUCUGGAUUUCUUGCUUAGGUUUUUGUGUUAUCUUCUGUGAUGAUUUCAUCCAGGCCUGCAGCUGUGAAGAUCUUCUUUCCAGUAGCCACUCCCAAGGUUCUUGAAUAGAGGAUCAGCCCCAGCUGAAAUCCACCUUCAGUCAUGGAGAACUGGAUACCUGGCCCACCCUCACCCAGGAGGUGGGGUUGGAAAACAAACCUUAUUCCCUAUCCUUGCCCAGGAGUCGUUGCCUUAGAAGUGUCCAGCCUCUGUGACUUCUCUUUGGACUAUUGCUUCUUCACAGAG